UCAUAUUUGUUAAAACUUGAAUUGCAUAUGCCUCUCUUGAUAAAUUUAGAUCAUAUGAUUAAAAAAACCAUAUAAUCCAUAAACUAGUCUAACAAGUUUGUACAUAAUACAAUGGUGCAUAAAUUUUCUUUUUAAGAAAUAUAUAUAUACUUACAUUUGGACGAGUACAUGAUAAAUAGUGUUAUUGUUGAAGGAGCAAUCACAUACAACAUUAUUAGCAUAAUAGCCAACCAUGGCGUUGACUGCAUGGAUCAAUACCAAAGUCCCACCCUGUCUUCCCCAAUGUUUUACCAAUGCUUUUCAAAGCUUCCACCGUAACAAAAAACCAAUAAGAGAAAUUUACUAGAAAAAUUCACCAAAUUAAGGUUGGAAGCUUAAUAUUAUGAGUUACCUUCGUCAUUGUAGCUCCAUCUGUAAGCGUUGUAAGGCAACAAACUAUGAAUAUUGACCCCAAAACAUGUCGAAGAAACAACAUAUUAAAGGAAUAUAUAUAUUUUUGGAUUGAUACGAAACUGGGUUUUCAUAAAUAUAUUGGACUAUGAGAGUUGGAAUUUGACUAUAUAUGAAAGUUGGGAAAAGGAAUUUCUAAAAGGAAGUUGGAAAUUUCUUUUAGAUGAAAAAUGAAAAGCAAGAUGAAAAUGAUUUGGCU
rnacentral:lncRNA from 1 species